CUACUGAAGGGGUAGAAGCUGAUCUAAAAAAUCUAAAAGAGAAGUUGGAUGCUUCUGUCGUAGG
rnacentral:tRNA from 1 species